rnacentral:tRNA from 1 species
GGGAUGCAGCUCUGUGGUAGAGCAUUUGCCUGUUAUGCAUGAGGCCCUGGGUUCAAUCCCCAGCAUCACA